GUUUCCAUCCGAUGCAAGAGAAGCUGUGCACUGACUUGAGCGCUGUGCACCAGCACACGAUGGGCAGGACCGCAGCAGCAGCUUGCUGCAGGGCUUCACGGCCUGAGCAGAAAAGCCCUCAGCUGGCCCCCAUCUCAGCCAGGAGCAAGAUCUCAGCACCCCCAUCUCUUCGUGUCACCCCACAGGAGCUGCUACAGGGACGGCAGACAGAUCUGCCUGGUUGCAGGAGCGCUUGGGCAGCCAGGCAAGAAGCUGCUGCUUUCUGCUGGAGACGUGCAAGGAACAGCAGAGCCCGGGGCAGAGGCUGACAGCAGGAGCCUCGUGCUGCUGGUGGGAGGCCUGACAGGUUUGUUGCUCUUGCUGUUGGAAGUAGCUGCAGUUCCCAGCACUGUGCUAAGAUCAAGGGCAAUUGGUUUUCUACCAUGUACCUGUAAAUCCCAUUCCUCCUGUAUGCAAGCCUCUAAAUCAGACAUCAGCAGAGAACAAGUUCCCAGCUGGUCACAGUAUAUAAACUAAUGAAAUAUAAAUGCCUGGUACAAAAGGCAAGUGUGGUCUCUAGUUGCCUCUGCUGAAUAAAAGGGUUGAUGGGAUUUUCCGCCAUACCAACGGCACUUCCAGUAGAUGCAAGCACUGCAGGCAGAGUAGUCCUCAGAGCCUGUAAUUUGGCCUGCUCCCAUCACCACUGGUGCUUUUAAAAGAAAACAGCUGCUUCUUUUAUUUCUGUUUUUUUAAAUCGUGUGGCAGCUAGAAAGUUAAAUGAGUGAUUUUGUGACGUCUCUUUUGACAGAGGCCAGCGUUUCACGAUGAGAAGCAGUUUCCUUGUCUCCAGGGAGACUUCCCAUGAGACAGUUGCCAAAGGAUCUCUGGGAAGUGAUUAGCGUUUUGUUCAGGAACAGAAAGCUGCAUGAACCUGCCUAGCUUUAGGGACUGUACGCUGUCACACCAACCAAAUCAGGGGGAUUCCCCAGGGUGUGCAGUGUCUUUGGGAUUGACUGCUUACUCACUGCCCUGUCCCCCUGCAACCAAGAAGAUUCAUCAAGGCAUCAGAAUUACUUUGUAUGAAGAACUGGCAAAAUCUGACCAUAGAUUUUAAAUAUUCACCGAGCCUCUCAUUUUAUUAAAUCUACAUUUAACUCUCCUGUUUCUUUUGCAAGGUAUUUAAUGUAAAUUUUACCCUUUAUUCAACCUACUUCUCUUAUAUAUUGAGCCCGCGAACAGUUGUUACAGCUCUUAAUGGUGAAAGGCCCACCUCAGUGUGAUUCUCUGCUGCUUCAAACUAUGGAAAAUUGGUGCAAAGGGGACUGAAACACUGGUGCUUUGAUGAAAUAAUAUUUGAAAACCCACAUUCUGCUGAUGAAAAGGACUAUAGGAGAUGGUGGAAAAUCAGUGAACUGCUUGAGAAAGCAAGUGUUCCAGCACGGUGAUAGCAGAACAGAACCGGGACCCCUGCUCAUCUUUUGGGGCAAAAUGUAGUGGGUCCCAGUAAUGACAAGGAUGGUGCAGAUAAGGCAGGAACACCACCACAGUGUAAUUAAUUCCCUAGGUAUCUGCCCAAACCCUUGUUGGCCUGGUAAGAUGUGGGGGCCCUGGCAGCAAAGGCAGUGUGCACCAGAGCCUGGCCACCAGCAGAUGGAGGUCUCACCAGCGUGAGGCCAGAGUAAACUAUUUCCGUGGCAUUCAGGCUCCAGAAUUAAAUAGCUGAGUGCAAAAGCAAAAUAUGCCCACGAAGGGCUCCUUUCCACAGUAGUCUGAAAACCAGGACUUGGGGAGGAGUUCAACAAAUUCCUGGGUUUCCAGCUCACACUAGCUGCUGUUAACUUCCUAUUCAGCAUGGUUAUCAGACCAGAGCUUGGGGUUAAUCUCCCUCUGUGGUACCAAGAGCCUGGGAAACAGCAGGGAAUUUGGUGAAAACCUGCUGAGAAGACAGUAACGAGCCCUGCUAAUGAGCAGGGGGGGAAUCGAGCAGGCACUGCACCAAAGGCAUACCAUCUUUCUGCAGGCAAAACACACUGCCUUUUCGCCCACAGAUCAGAUGCGUUUCCUCAGCAUUACAAAUAAUUUUUGUCCAUAGUAGCUUUUGGCCAUUAUUAUUGGCCAUCAGCAUUGCUGUUACAGUGGUAAAUAGCUCUAGCCACGGUCUGACCCCAGGGUGUGAGGCAUGGUGUGAAUGGGGAGCAGGCUGGCCCUUCGGUGGGGUGUCCACAGGCUGGUAUGGAAGGAGCUGCUCCCAAUCUCCAGCAAAUACCCAUUCUUGGUUCUUCCAGUUAACCUGGAAAAGCAACAGAGAGAGCCAGUCUCUGGGCUGAAAUCUGCUGCACACCUCAGCUCUUCUCCUGUCACUGCUGGGGCCUAGGGAGGGAGAAAUGGGGCAUCGCCAGUGCAGGCAGAACUGGCCACAACUUAUAAUUCAGGAUCUCAGAGCUUGAGUUCAAUUCCAUGUCCUCCUAGGCAAACCAGGAGCUUUGCACUCUUCCCUUAAAAAAAACACA